rnacentral:rRNA from 1 species
CCUACGGGGGGCAGCAGUGGGGAAUUUUGGACAAUGGGGGAAACCCUGAUCCAGCCAUGCCGCGUGAGUGAAGAAGGCCUUCGGGUUGUAAAGCUCUUUCAGCCGGAAAGAAAUCGCACUGGUUAAUACCUUGUGUGGAUGACGGUACCGGAAGAAGAAGCACCGGCUAACCACGUGCCAGCAGCCGCGGUAAUACGUAGGGUGCGAGCGUUAAUCGGAAUUACUGGGCGUAAAGCGUGCGCAGGCGGUUUUGUAAGACAGAUGUGGAAUCCCCGGGCUUAACCUGGGAAAUGCAUUUGUGACUGCAAGGCUAGAGUACGGCAGAGGGGGGUAGAAUUCCACGUGUAGCAGUGAAAUGCGUAGAUAUGUGGAGGAAUACCGAUGGCGAAGGCAGCCCCCUGGGUCGAUACUGACGCUCAUGCACGAAAGCGUGGGGAGCAAACAGGAUUAGAUACCCUUGUAGUC